UACGAAGGGGACUAGCGUUGUUCGGAUUUACUGGGCGUAAAGCGCGCGUAGGCGGAUAUUUAAGUCAGGGGUGAAAUCCCAGGGCUCAACCCUGGAACUACCUUUGAUACUGGGGAUCUUGAGUCCGGAAGAGGUGAGUGGAACUCCGAGUGUAGAGGUGAAAUUCGUAGAUAUUCGGAAGAACACCAGUGGCGAAGGCGGCUCACUGGUCCGGUACUGACGCUGAGGUGCGAAAGCGUGGGGAGCAAACAGG
rnacentral:rRNA from 1 species